UAUACAUAGCAAGAAAAUGGAAUUGAGGAACAUAGUGUAUAUGGGCAAUGGUUGUGAUGGAUGAUGGCUGCCAUAUUCACGGGUGGUCGAAUCCCUCAGAUAUUAACUUUACUUUCAUGACAUAUAGAAUGGUCAAUAUUGAAGUGGGCUAUCCCAUUUGAUGUUUCCAGAUUGGCAAUGAUCUUUCUCAAUUUGUGGGGCCUCUUAUCUUGAAUCAACUCUACAGUUUCUUAAUCACCCUGCUCUUGAUGGUCUUUUAUGUGAUAAAGAUCGAAAGGUUGGGCUUUUAUUUCC